rnacentral:rRNA from 1 species
UACGUAGGGUGCGAGCGUUAAUCGGAAUUACUGGGAGUAAAGCGUGCGCAGGCGGUUUGUUAAGUCUGUUGUGAAAUCCCCGAGCUCAACUUGGGAAUUGCAAUGGAUACUGGCAGGCUGGAGUAUGGUAGAGGAAGGUGGAAUUCCCGGUGUAGCAGUGAAAUGCGUAGAGAUCGGGAGGAACACCAGUGGCGAAGGCGGCCUUCUGGACCAAUACUGACGCUCAUGCACGAAAGCGUGGGGAGCAAACAGG